rnacentral:rRNA from 1 species
AACGAACGCUGGCGGCAGGCCUAACACAUGCAAGUCGAGCGAACCCUUCGGGGUUAGCGGCGGACGGGUGAGUAACGCGUGGGAACGUGCCCUUUGCUACGGAAUAGCCCCCGGGAAACUGGGAGUAAUACCGUAUGUGCCCUUCGGGGGAAAGAUUUAUCGGCAAAGGAUCGGCCCGCGUUGGAUUAGGUAGUUGGUGGGGUAAUGGCCUACCAAGCCGACGAUCCAUAGCUGGUUUGAGAGGAUGAUCAGCCACACUGGGACUGAGACACGGCCCAGACUCCUACGGGAGGCAGCAGUGGGGAAUCUUAGACAAUGGGCGCAAGCCUGAUCUAGCCAUGCCGCGUGAUCGAUGAAGGCCUUAGGGUUGUAAAGAUCUUUCAGUGGGAAGAUAAUGACUGUACCCACAGAAGAAGCCCGGCUAACUCCGUG